rnacentral:rRNA from 1 species
UACCGUAGGGACGAGGCGUUGGUCCGGAAGUUACUGGGCGUAAAGGGCGCGCAGGCUGUAGAUCAAGUCAGCUGUGAAAUGUCUGGGCUUAACCCGGGCAUGCGGUUGAAACUGAUGUACUGGAGUGCUGUAGAGGCAAGUGGAAUUCCCAGUGUAGCGGUGAAAUGCGUAGAUAUUGGGAAGAACACCGGUGGCGAAGGCGACUUGCUGGGCAGCAACUGACGCUGAGGCGCGAAAGCCAGGGGAGCAAACGGGAUUAGAUA